UACGUAGGGGGCAAGCGGUAUUCGGAAUCACUGGGCAUAAAGGGCGCGCAGGCGGUUUUGUAAGUCUAAAGUGAAAUCCUUGGGCUUAAACCAAGAGCUGCUUUAGAAACUGCAAAACUCGAGAUCGGGAAAAGCAAGCGGAAUUCCUGGUGAAGGGGUGAAAUCCGUAGAUAUCAGGAAGAACACCAGUGGCGAUAGCGGCUUGCUAGAACGCAACUGACGCUUAGGCGCGAAAGCGUGGGCAGCAAACAGA
rnacentral:rRNA from 1 species